rnacentral:tRNA from 1 species
GAUUCGUUAGCUCAGCCGGUUACCUUUGAAAGCAGAGCCGUAGGCAAGGCUUUUAAAGGUCUUGAGAGCACAACACUUUUAAUGUUGGGGUCUUGGGUUCGAGCCCCAAACGAAUCA